rnacentral:rRNA from 1 species
GAAUUCACUAGUGAUUCAGGCCUAACACAUGCAAGUCGAGCGGUAGAGAGAAGCUUGCUUCUCUUGAGAGCGGCGGACGGGUGAGUAAUGCCUAGGAAUCUGCCUGGUAGUGGGGGAUAACGUUCGGAAACGGACGCUAAUACCGCAUACGUCCUACGGGAGAAAGCAGGGGACCUUCGGGCCUUGCGCUAUCAGAUGAGCCUAGGUCGGAUUAGCUAGUUGGUGAGGUAAUGGCUCACCAAGGCGACGAUCCGUACCUGGUCUGAGAGGAUGAUCAGUCACACUGGAACUGAGACACGGUCCAGACUCCUACGGGAGGCAGCAGUGGGGAAUAUUGGACAAUGGGCGAAAGCCUGAUCC